rnacentral:tRNA from 1 species
UGACUCCUAGCUCAAUUUGGCAGUAAGCAUUUGAUUGUUAAUCAAAAGGUUCUGGGUUCAAGUCCCAGGGAGUCAGCCA